rnacentral:rRNA from 1 species
ACUGAACGCUGGCGGCAUGGCUAAAACAUGCAAGUCGAACGGACCCGCAAGGGUUAGUGGCGGAAGGGUGAGUAAAAGUAUCGAACGUACCCCGAGGUGGGGGAUAGGCACGGGAAACUGUGCGUAAUACCCCAUGAUCUCGAGAGAGCAAAGCCGCAAGGCGCCUUGGGAGCGGCGAUAUACCUAUCAGGUAGUUGGCGGGGUAACGGCCCACCAAGCCGAAGACGGGUAGCCGGUGUGAGAGCACGGCCGGCCACAUCGAGACUGAGACACGGCCCAGACUCCUACGGGAGGCAGCAGUGGGGAAUCUUGCGCAAUGGGCGAAAGCCUGACGCAGCGACGUCGCGUGAGGGAUGACGGCCUUGGUUG